UGACGGGGGGGCCUAAACCUGGCAAUUCGAGCGGAACCGAGUUAACUGAACCUUCGGGGAACGUUAACGCUGCCAAGCGGGGGACGGGUGAGUAAUGCCUGGGAAAUUGCCCUGAUGUGGGGGAUAACCAUUGGAAACGAUGGCUAAUACCGCAUAAUACCUUCGGCUCAAAGAGGGGGACCUUCGGGCCUCUCGCGUCAGGAUAUGCCCAGGUGGGAUUAGCUAGUUGGUGAGGUAAUGGCUCACCAAGGCGACAAUCCCUAGCUGGUCUGAGAGGAUGAUCACCCACACUGGAACUGAAACACGGUCCAAACUCCUACGGGAGGCAGCAGUGGGGAAUAUUGCACAAUGGGCGCAAGCCUGAUGCACCCAUGCCGCGUGUAUGAAAAAGGCCUUCGGGUUGUAAAGUACUUUCACCAGUGAGGAAGGCAGGUACGUUAAUAGCGUGCUUGUUUGACGUUAGCUGCAAAAAAAGCACCGGCUAACUCCGUGC
rnacentral:rRNA from 1 species